rnacentral:tRNA from 2 species
GGCUAGGUGGCAGAGUGGUGAUGCAGCGGCCUGCAAAGCCGCGUACACCGGUUCGAUUCCGGUCCUAGCCUCCA